UGCACAAGCAUACCAUGGUAUAAGCAAGGCGCAGAUGGUUUUCGGCAUUGCGUGGUGGUUCGAAUUAAAUACCAAAACGAACAACGGACAAAAAGAACCAGUACACGUGACACAAACAAAGCGCCAUGACUAGCUACCAAACACGUCCGCAUCCAAUAUAGGUGUUCAAACUCAUACAUAGAAAUUCGAUAGUAUCUAAGAACGAGGGUGAUUAUUUUCUUGUAGGAAUUCUUAUUUUAUUUACCUGCUUGUAACUUGUACGUGUAGGCAAGGUAAUAAUAGGAGUAGUUUUUAUUUGUUCCGAUAAAAUACACAAGAAUUUCUUCUCAAUCGCUAUCUAAGUUUAAAUUAUCAUUACUUAGUAAAUAUUUGUCUUAUGGUUAUAUAGAUAGUGAUAAUAACAAUUCAUCAAGUCAUAUAAACACAUUCGAGAAGUGUUUGAUAGUUCUUGUUAUGUAAGUGUUGUUGCAAUAUUUCAAUGUGUCUGUGACACCCUCAACGGCAGUUAGAUUGCGAAAAUGCGUCUAGCAAGAGUCUGGGGAUGAGCAGGCGGGCUGCACGAAUUGUAUCGAUCGCCAAAAUUCGGAUGCAACGAGGGCUAACAAGAGAUAGCCAAUGCGACGGAAUGCACCAACAUCCCAAUAAGUCCCAAUGAGUUUGCGUUGCGACGUUUUUUAGCACAGGCUGUUCCUUGGUUAUACUCGUAGUUUUACCCCUCGUGUUUUGCGAGGUUCUAGAACUCAUGACAGCUUAAUAUAAACGUACACGUGCACUACUAAGAGUUUGGUGAAAUUGGAUUUUCAGAUUUCAACCCUUCUUAGUUGCAAUGAUAGGGUUUCUUGAAAAGGUUAGGGGUAAAAAUAGAUUUGUGUACGUACGAUAGCAAUAAUAUAAUCAUAUUUUAAAUUUAGUUCACGUCAAUAAAUUAAUAGCGUUUAUGUUGGCAAUAUCGCAAUUUACAUGUAGUUCUGCAAUCGUUUUCUAUUGUUUGUCUGUAUUUAAGAAAACACAGAUUAAACUUAAAUAUGAGUAUAAAUUCACCUGAAUUAGAACAGAAAAGAAGAAAACACAUCAUAUUCAAUAGUUUUUCAUAGAAAUGUUUUCUAAAAUAAUUUAAUUUUUUAUUUUUCUUUGUGAGCACUGCGUACGUUUACGCUCCACGCGCUUACCCGACCUAUAUGAGCACCUGCCGUGCUACCGCAAACCGUCAACAGCGUCAACACUCAACCAUAUCGAACAAGGAAACAAAUGCAUAAAAACUCUUACAAUUAUUAUUUUAAAAAGUUUACACUGUAGCGAAUCUCGGGUGAUAAUUUGUUAUACGACACAUACUACGCCGAAUUGUGAACUUGGUUGCCUAGCCUCAAACAUCAAGUACGUAAGAAAUAUUCUGAAGCGCAAUUUCACUAAGUGAACUCUAGCUAGAAAUAGUGUUGGCGUUUGUAUUUUACGCCAUUUAAAACUGUAACGCGGUUACAAUUCAACGGACUGCUUUUAUUGGUGUAUCUACUUACAAUGCCAAGGCCGCUUCAAGUGCUAUUUGUGUGUCGCGUGCAUAAUUUGCGUACUAUUUACGUUGGCAAAUUUUUAAUUGGCGACGGCGCAUUUAAUUUAUUGCUGACUUGAAUCAAAAUCUUUAAACAUUUAUAACAAGUAAACUAUUCAACGUACUAAUAUUUAAAAAAUCAAUGGCUAGAUAAAUUAAGAUUCUCAUUUUACAGGUACAAAUAAAGUACCUUCUACUAGAGAAAUGUGAGAAGAAGACUUCCAGUGAAGCCGAAUAUUCAUUCGCUCUUGCCGAUUAUUGUAUUUGACUGUUGGCGCCAUACAUUUUUAUAUUAAUAAUUUAAAUUCAUAUUAUUGUUAUAAAAUUUUAAGUUUUGUCGAUAUACUUUGGCUAAUCUACAUCUUCAACAUUUCGUUGUACAGUAGAUAGUAAAACAUACUUUAAAAUGCAUCACAAUGCGAUUGAAUUAUAAGUUUAUAACUAUUAAAUCCAAAAAUGGAAAUGAUUUGUUAUGUAGGUACCUAAAUAAUUAAAAUGAUUAAAUGAUUACAUGAUCAAA